AUUGAACGCUGGCGGCAUGCUUUACACAUGCAAGUCGAACGGCAGCGCGGGGCAACCUGGCGGCGAGUGGCGAACGGGUGAGUAAUAUAUCGGAACGUACCCAGAAGUGGGGGAUAACGUAGCGAAAGUUACACUAAUACCGCAUACGAUCUACGGAUGAAAGUAGGGGACCGCAAGGCCUUAUGCUUUUGGAGCGGCCGAUAUCUGAUUAGCUAGUUGGUGAGGUAAAGGCUCACCAAGGCGACGAUCAGUAGCUGGUCUGAGAGGACGACCAGCCACACUGGAACUGAGACACGGUCCAGACUCCUACGGGAGGCAGCAGUGGGGAAUUUUGGACAAUGGGCGCAAGCCUGAUCCAGCAAUGCCGCGUGAGUGAAGAAGGCCUUCGGGUUGUAAAGCUCUUUUGUCAGGGAAGAAACGGUAGAGGCUAAUAUCCUUUGCUAAUGACGGUACCUGAAGAAUAAGCACCGGCUAACUACGUG
rnacentral:rRNA from 1 species